GACGAACGCUGGCGGCGUGCCUAAUACAUGCAAGUUGAGCGCUGAAGACUGGUACUUGUACCGGUUGGAUGAGCAGCGAACGGGUGAGUAACGCGUGGGUAACCUGCCCUAUAGAGGGGGAUAACUAGAGGAAACUUUAGCUAAUACCGCAUAAAAUCUAAUAACACAUGUUAUAAGAUUGAAAGUGCCCAUUGGUACACUAUAGGAUGGACCCGCGUUGUAUUAGCUAGUUGGUGAGGUAAAGGCUCACCAAGGCGAUGAUACAUAGCCGACCUGAGAGGGUGAUCGGCCACACUGGGACUGAGACACGGCCCAGACUCCUACGGGAGGCAGCAGUAGGGAAUCUUCGGCAAUGGACGAAAGUCUGACCGAGCAACGCCGCGUGAGUGAAGAAGGUCUUCGGAUCGUAAAACUCUGUUGUAAGAGAAGAACACCAGUAAGAGUGGAAAGCUUACUGGCUGACGGUAUCUUACCAGAAAGCCACGGCUAACUACGUGCCAGCCGCCGCGGUAA
rnacentral:rRNA from 1 species